CAUUACAGAAAUCCCAAUUAAGCAAGAGCUCAGCACGACUGGGCGAGCAGACCAAUGAGUAGUCAUACUCGUUGAUCAAUAAUCCUCACAGCCUGACCAACUGUGGGGAAUGAGCGUGUUUGCGUGACACGGCACGCAUUCACGGUGAAGAGAGAAAAAGCGAAAAAAAGAGCUACCCUAAAGCUCAUGAAAAUGGUUUGAUCGCGUAUCCCGGCGCUUUCUUCCAUAUAUAUAAAGCAUUGCACAAAUAAUGAGUUUUGAGCUGGGGCUCAUUAGUGCACAUUACGAUUGCAUGGUUGUGGCAACCGGUGAUCGUUAACUGCAGCUUUGUCUGCCUACGGUGGAGCGAUCCAGUUCUGCCUUUCGCCUGUGCCUGGUACAUUCGUGUACCUACGCACAGUUCUGGUUGUGACAGGGUGCCUACCCGUCUGAUGCUCUUUGUUAUGCUUGCCGUCUGUAGAUGGUCAGUCCAUAUCAGGAGUGACGGGAUGUGCUGUCAAAAUUGGCAGUGCUAGGCUUAAUGAGUGGUUCGACAUAACGAGCUACGGCUCAGCCACCGCCCUGUUUGCUGUUUGUUGCAACAAAAUCCCAUAUUACACUGUUCAAGUGGUUCAGAUCGGACAUUGCUCACCCAACCGGUUUGAAUCAUUGCCCGACAUGCACCUGGUCUCGUACUGGAAUGCAUGUGCAGUCGCCUGGCGGUGCCUUAUCCUGGGCUAGACUGAGUAACCAAGCGUCGCUCAUCCGAAUCCCUGGAUGUUCGAUGUGAGUACAACUCUGUGCGGUGGAUCACUCGGCUCGUGUGUCGAUGAAGAGCGCAGCCAACUGUGUGAAUUAAUGUGAACUGCAUACUGCUUUGAACAUCGACAUCUUGAACGCAUAUUGCGGCCAUGGGUUAGCCUGUGGCCACGCCUGUCCGAGGGUCGGCUUAUAAACUAUCGCGACGCCCAAAAAGUCGCGGCUUGGGUCUUGCCAGCUGGCGUGAUAUCCCCUAUUUGGUCUUGUGCCUUUGUGGGGUGCCAGAACUAUGGCGUUUCCCUAAUGUACCCGGACGCACCAUGUUACGGCUAAAAGCCUUGACGAGAUGUGUCGAUAGAGUCGUGGCUCAGUGAUAUAUUUUAUGUGCGCGCUCUACCGUCAUGUUUUGUCUAUGGUUGGCUUGCUGUGGGUGGUUGUGUACCGAUGCUGACUAAUGUAUGUGCCAUAUGGCUCAUCAUUU
rnacentral:misc_RNA from 1 species